rnacentral:lncRNA from 1 species
UUUAUUUGGGGUUUGGGACCGGAUCAGGCCUUAAAUCUACGCAGAAGAAAGGCGGAGAAGCAGCGGAAGCCGGGCACUAGUCCUGCAGGGUGGAAGGCGCUUUAUCGGGUCUUCUGGCCCGCUGCGGGCGAUAGAGCUGGUGGCCAGACAAGCACAAACCUCUCAGGAGCCCUACCACGACAAGGCCAGAGAACACCCCGAUGACGGAAAGCAUCCAGAUGGAGGCCUCUACAACAAGGGACCCUCCUACUCGAGUUAUUCCGGGUACAUAAUGAUGCCAAAUAUGAAUAACGACCCAUACAUGUCAAAUGGAUCUCUUUCUCCACCCAUCCCGAGAACAUCAAAUAAAGUGCCCGUGGUGCAGCCAUCCCAUGCGGUCCAUCCUCUCACCCCCCUCAUCACUUACAGUGACGAGCACUUUUCUCCAGGAUCACACCCGUCACACAUCCCAUCAGAUGUCAACUCCAAACAAGGCAUGUCCAGACAUCCUCCAGCUCCUGAUAUCCCUACUUUUUAUCCCUUGUCUCCGGGUGGUGUUGGACAGAUCACCCC